GUCACGCUGUAAACGAUGUCGAUUUGGAGGUUGUUCCCUUGAGGAGUGGCUUCCGGAGCUAACGCGUUAAAUCGACCGCUGGGGAGUACGGCCGCAAGGUUAAAACUCAAAUGAAUUGACGGGGGCCCGCACAAGCGGUGGAGCAUGUGGUUUAAUUCGAUGCAACGCGAAGAACCUUACCUACUCUUGACAUCCAGAGAAUUUAGCAGAGAUGCUUUAGUGCCUUCGGGAACUCUGAGACAGGUGCUGCAUGGCUGUCGUCAGCUCGUGUUGUGAAAUGUUGGGUUAAGUCCCGCAACGAGCGCAACCCUUAUCCUUUGUUGCCAGCACGUUAUGGUGGGAACUCAAAGGAGACUGCCGGUGAUAAACCGGAGGAAGGUGGGGAUGACGUCAAGUCAUCAUGGCCCUUACGAGUAGGGCUACACACGUGCUACAAUGGCGUAUACAAAGAGAAGCGACCUCGCGAGAGCAAGCGGAACUCAUAAAGUACGUCGUAGUCCGGAUUGGAGUCUGCAACUCGACUCCAUGAAGUCGGAAUCGCUAGUAAUAGUAGAUCAGAAUGCUACGGUGAAUACGUUCCCGGGCCUUGUACACACCGCCCGUCACACCAUGGGAGUGGGUUGCAAAAGAAGUAGGUAGCUUAACCUUCGGGAGGGCGCUUACCACUUUGUGAUUCAUGACUGGGGUGAAGUCGUAACAAGGUAACCA
rnacentral:rRNA from 1 species